AUUCUACUCCCUCCGUUGCACAAUACAUGCCUUCUAUUUGUCAAAAUAUAUAUGUAUCUAGACAUGUCUUAGUAUAUAGGUACAUCCAUUUUUGGACAAAUGGAAGUCAAGUAAUUUGGAACGGAGGGAGUACACA
rnacentral:pre_miRNA from 1 species